GGUUAGAUGGCCGAGCGGUCUAAGGCGCCAGACUAAGGAUCAGCUUCAUAAUUUGACGCUCCAAUUUCGCAUGCGAAAUCUGGUCCUCCGGGGCGUGGGUUCGAAUCCCACUCUAAUCA